rnacentral:lncRNA from 1 species
CUUAAGUAUUUUGUUUAUAAAACUUGCAGCGUAUAUUACAAUUUACAAUGAGUAUACAAUGAAGCACGACUGUAUCGAUAGUGAAUACGGACGUUCUAAGUAUUAUAGAUGAUUUAUGUAUGCUAUUGAUAGUGAAUACGGUCGUGCUAAGUAAUAUAGAUGAUUUAUGCAUGCUAUCGAUAGUGAAUACGGUCGUGCUAAGUAAUAUAGAUGAUUUAUGAAUACGGACGUGAUAAGUAAUAUAGAUGAUUUAUGAAUACGGACGUGCUAAGUAAUAUAGAUGAUUUAUGAAUACGGACGUGCUAAGUAAUAUAGAUGUUUAUGUAUGCUAUCGAUAGUGAAUACGGACGUGCUAAGUAAUAUAGAUGAUUUAUGUAGUAUAUCGAUAAUGAAUACGGACGUGCUAAGUAAUAUAGAUGAUUUAUGAAUACGGAAGUGCUUAGUAAUAUAGAUGAUUUAUGAAUACGGACGUGCUAAGUAAUAUAGAUGAUUUAUGUAGCUAUCGAUAGUGAAUACGGACGUGCUAAGUAAUAUAGAUGAUUUAUGUAUGCUGUCGAUAGUGAAUACGGACGUGCUAAGUAAUAUAGAUGACUUAUGUAGUAUAUCGAUAGUGAAUACGGACGUGCUAAGUGAUAUAGAUUAUUUAUGUAUACGGACGUACUUAGUAAUAUAGAUGAUUUAUGUAUACUGGAAUUGAUAAACACGCUCAAUAUCUUUUUUAAACUUUUAUAAUAUUUAUUUUUUUAAUUUUUAAACAUAUAUUACCUCACAAUUGUUACUUAAAUUGUUGCGAUGUGUAUAUGAUGUAGUAUUAAUUUUUUUAUCAAGAAUCUGUAUCCAAUUUGUUAUGUCAAGUUACUUAAAUAAAAUAACAAAACUAAUGUGUAGAAGAAAUCAGUUCUGAAAUCUGAAGAAAAUUAUUUUCUGCAGUAAUCGGUUACAGGGUAUUGAGAUAAUGUAAGUGAAUGUUUCACCACACCAGCGUGACAAUCAUCACAAGCAGAUUUUUAACGGUUAGUCAGACAACUUCACACUGUGUUGACACUUAAAAUUACAAGUGUUCUUGACACCAUAUCGCGUACAAUUUUGUAAAAGUUUUUAGGUCAGUUGAAGAAGAAGCACCAAUAAUAAGUCGGUGAUGUUUUGAAAUUUGAAAUGCAUGUGCAUUACCAUUUAUAAAUCUCAUUUUUCGUUAAAAUUUAAUACGUUGACAUUUUAUAUGCAGUAGUAUAAACAUUAAUUUGAAUUUUCUCAUGCCAAUUGAUAUUAUUUGGUCAGCCCCUCAGUCAUAGUCGAUUGACUUUAUUUUUUUUGGCAUAUUUAACAUAGUUGAAGGGAUUCGUGUUGCUUAGCGUUUAGUUUUCUAUGAUGUGUUUUUGAACUAUUGUGGGUGUGUCUGUUUGUCCUUUUCCUUUUUUUUAACCAUGUCGUUGUCAGUUUGUUUUGGACUUAUGAUUUUGAAUGUCCCUCUGAUAUACUUCGCCUCUCUUUUGACACGUAGCAGUUUGUCAUUAGGCUAAAAAAAGGAGUAUGGUAAUAACUUGAUGGUUAUAAAGGAAUUUUAUAAGAAAUUGAGGGUAUCACCAGCCCAGUAGUCAGCACUCCGGUGUUGACAUGAAUAUCAAUUAUAUGGUCUUUUUUUUCUAAAUUUCCUGUUACAAAAUUUUGAAUUUUUCGAAAACCAAGGAUUUUCUUAUCCCAGGAAUAGAUUACCUUAGCCGUAUUUGUCACAACUUUUUGUGGAAUUUUGGGUCCUCAAUGCUCUUCAACUUUGUACUUGUUUGGCUUUUAUAACUAUUUUGAUCAGAGCGUCACUGAUGAGUCUUAUGUAGACGAAACGCGCGUCUGACGUAUGAAAUUAUAAUCCUGGUACCUUUGAUAACAAUCAAGUAUGAUUUUCGUAUGAUUUUGUGUUUGUUUGUUGUAACAUAAUUAUUUUCCCUUGUAUUAUAUUGUUUUGUACAUAUAGUCUACCAUUGUUACUGUUUAGAAGUCAGCACUUGCAUUUAACUAUCGAAAUAAAUUAUACACAGCUGUCACCAAUUUAUUAAAAUUUAUAUCAUAUUUUCCUUUAUACAUUAUAAAUAAAACUCCAAGGGAAUGUUGAUAAGGGACUUUCCGAUUGAAUUUUCCUCGGUGUUCGGUAUAUUUGUGCUUUUACUUUUUUGAUAAAGAUAUAUGUUUUACAAAAUUAAUGACUUUUUAGUUGUGCACAUAAAUUGGCUAACCUUUGCUUUUCUCUGACUAUUUCUCUCUUGGGAAAAUAUAUCUUUGCAUCAAUAAAUAGAGAAAUGGUCAAACUUUGAUGAAGAUAAUGAAGUAUAUCAACUAGAUUUUAGCAAGGGCUAUAAGUCAAGUAAAGUCUUUACUUUCAAUAUUAUUUUAGAAUUUUUGAUUAUUAUGUUUUUUACAAUGAUCAUAAAUUAAUGACUUAUUGCUACCUUAUUUGUAUUGAUAUGUUUCUUCGUGUAAUCUAUGAACAUAAUGUACGUAUGUAUUAAGUUCAAUUGUAUUGAUAUGUUUCUUCAUUUACGUAUGUAUUAAGUUCAAUUGUAUUGAUAUGUUUCUUCAUUUCAUCUAUGAACAUAAUGUACGUAUUUAAUAAGUUCAAUUGACAAAAGCUGUUUGUAUGUCUCCCGGUGAAUGCUGUAUUUAAUGUUUGCCUUAUAUUCUUCUUGUUUUAUACAUGACUAACUUUAUUAGCACUAACACAUUGACAAUAAAUGGUUAUGGCAACAAAUUAAAGACAAACUACAAUAACAUAUAUACAAUGAAAGAGUGACAGUGUAAAAGUAUGAGAGAAAUAUAUAAAAAUAAAAGAGAAGCAUAUACAUUAUUACAGAAAUCGAGUACCUUUUAAUAAUGAGUUUCUCACCAACAAGCAUUCAUUCAAAUAGUUGACAACAAUUUUUAAUAUUGUUUGGGAAUUAUUAUUUAGAAUUGAUAUAAGCAAGUUAUAUGAUAAAGAAGGUAAUUUGUUGUUCAAUAGGACAUUAUUUAUUUUUUAAUGAGGUUAUCUCUCACAUAGUUAUAAGAGGAACAUUUUAAAAGAAAAUGUAGUUCAUCUUCAAUGUCUCCAUUGUUGCAGCAAAGACAUACCCUAUUCUGCUUUGGUAUUUUUAGAUAUCGCCUCUUUCAAUAAAUAAAGUAUGAGCACCUAACCUCAAUCUACAUAAUGUUGAUCUAUCACAUUUGGAUUUGCAUAGAUCAACAUACGAGGGUCC